CAAUAGCCGCGGCUGAAACGGCAUCCUUUUUUGGCGCGAUCCGCCAGAGGUGGAGAUGCGCCAAAAAAGAUAGAGUGGAAGACGGGACGGAUU
rnacentral:sRNA from 1 species